rnacentral:lncRNA from 1 species
UUCUUCGAUUGAGAAGCCGCGGUGGGUGAAGAUUUGUGUGAUUUGGGAGAUGGGCAUUGCGGGGGUGGGGAGGUGGUCAGGAACGGCGGAGGCGAGGGAGGUGCGGCCGUCGCGGCGGCCGAGGAAGACGGGGAAGAAGGGGCCGCCGAGCAUGGUGAGGAGGUCGCGGGUGGCGGCGGAGAGAAUGUCGGCGCAGGAGACGGUGUUGGGGCAGGCGAGCUCAAGGGCGGUCUUGGCGCGGACGACGAGGUCGAAGGCGUCGCCGGGGAGGGAGAGGUUGAUGUCGGCGUCGCGCUCGGCCCUGGAGAAGGGCGUGGAGGAGAGGAGGAUGGAGGCGUCACAGCCGUUGGGGAGGAGGCAGUCGUGGAGGAAGAGGCGGAGCGUGGCGGCGGCGGUGGUGGGGCUGGCGAUCUGCUUGCUUGUGA